AGCGUAUCUCACAGAAUCUCUGACCAAUGGAGAGCUAAUCAAAGACAAGUUUAAUAGGAGAAGAAAAUACUUGGAUUGGGAGGAUGGCUGAAAAGUCCCAUUGAACAAGGCCCUCAAAUGGAGUUCCUGUGGAGUGGUCACCUUUUUGAUGACUUCAACUGGGAACAUCCGUAUGGAACCAUCGCUGGGUGUUCAUUCCAUCACCCCUUCCUAUGUCCCUGCUCAGGACACCCUGCGUCUGUCUAUAUGCAUUGCUACCAGUUUAGACAGUGAGUUACAUUUAGUGCAUUUGUGCAUUGUUCUUUAUUGUAUCCAUGGUAUCUAGCACAAUUCUUGUUCUUAUUAGAGCUUCGUAAAUGUCAUUGAUUAAUCCAGGGCAGAUUAUCUCUCUCUAUUUUCGUGAAUCCUCUGCAUAAACAAUUUGAUUAAAAAUUUAUGACA
rnacentral:lncRNA from 1 species